GGCGUGCCCAAAUACCAUGGGUGAAGCAUCUGACUCCCGUGCCUCAGCAGCAGCAGCAACCCGAAAUGCCUCAGCAAGCGUCACAGCUGGGCCAAAUACCUUAGGUGAAGCAACUGGCCACGGUUUCUCGGAAACAACUGGCCACAGUGCCUCGGCAGCGGAAGCUACUGGCCACAGUGCCUCGCAAGCGGCCCCCCGUAAUGCAGCGGAAGCGGCCACCCAUAAUGCCUCGGCAAGUGUGCUAACCGGCCCAAAUACCUUAGGUGAAGCAACUGGCCACAAUGCUUCAUCAGGCGUCACGGCUGGCCCAAAUACCUUGGGUGAAGCAUCCGACUCUCGUGCCUCAACAGCAACCCGAAAUGCCUCAGCAAGCGUCACGGCUGGGCCAAAUACCUUAGGUGAAGCAACUGGCCACGGUUCCUCGGCAGCAGAAGCAACUGGCCACAGUGCCACCCACAAUGCCUCGGCAAGUGUGGCAACUGGCCCAAAUACCUUAGGUGAAGCACCUGGCCACAAUGCUUCAUCAGGUGUCACGGCUGGCCCAAAUACCUUGGGUGAAGCAUCCGACUCCCGUGCCUCAGCAGAAGCAGCCACCCACAAUGCCUCAGCAAGCGUCACGGCUGGCCCAAAUACCUUAUGUGAAGCAACCGGCCACUUUGCCUCGGCAGUGGAAGCAACCGGCCACAGUGCCUCAUCAAGUGCGGAAUCUGGUUCAAAUGCCUCGGCAGAAGCGACAG
rnacentral:lncRNA from 1 species